AAACACCACUGUGCACUAUGCCCAACUGAUAGAGGAUGCAACUUACAGUCAGGCAGCAAAGCCCCGACCCAGGCGCCCUGACUCCUAGUCUAGCGCUUCUUGGAGUCUCUGUGGCCCUGCAGUCACUGGGAUCCAGUGUGGUGAUAUCUGAGUUGGUCUUCAAGGAAGAGUGAGAGCUGGCCAGGUGAAGGAAGGGAAGAGGAGAGAGAAACUCCAAGGCGGCCUAUGUCUGCACUAAAUGAAAGCACUUUGGGAGGCUGAGGUGGACGGAUCACCCGAGGUCAGGAGUUCCAGACCAGCCUGGCCAACAUGGGAAGGAACAAAUUACAAGAAGAGGAGGGGAAUCUGCUCCCUCCCUGGCAUUGAACCCACUGGCUGUCCACAGGACCCCCUCCAGCCUCGACUUCCCUCAGGAGGCCUGCAUACAUCCAAUAAGAUGACUUAAGCUGGCAAAGUAGCUUAUGGACACACAGAACCUGAACCGAGGCUGAAUUUGGGUGAGAAAAAUGAAGCAUGCAGAAAUUCAAAUGCUGUCUAGGAUCACUAGCUAGAACAUGGCGGAGCCAGGAUCUAAUGCUGCUGUCUGCCUCCGGAGCCGCCCUUUACCUGCUCUGCCUCCCAGGCCACGUCCCCGCCAAGGUAGCCAGCUGGGACUUCCCUCUAUCUCUGGCUAAGCUACUUGUUGGAAAAGAAAGCAUCUUUUAACCUAGAGGUGCCCCCUUUCAUCCCCAACCCUGCCCUGUGGCAACACAGAGUGAGGCUGAUGGGUCUCCACAGAGGGGCUUCAGAUGCCUGAUGGUCGCGGUAGCCCCCUGAGCCUGCCUUCAUCCGGUCUAAAUGUCCUCUGUUGCUUUGGUUUGCCUCAGGCCCAAAGACAUCUGGUUUUGGCCACUGCAGCCAGCCAGUGGCCACAGUGCCCCCUGGUGAACAAGUCUGCAAGAUUCCUGGUUAGGCUCAAAUAUUAGGUGUAAACAACAGGUGCACAAUGGCGAUAUUGCAAGUCCCAACAUCCCCCCGUCAGCAAUUGAACAACUACCCAGCCACCUGACCUCCCUGCUUCUAACCUCCCCAUCCCUCCUGACAUCAAUCGCUGAAGCCAGAGUAAACUAUGGAAGGCUUCAAUCUAACUCAGACAUCCUCCUCUUCCAAACAAACCAAAAUCUGACUCACCCCUCAAGGGCUCCCGCCACCUACAGGGUCCAGCCCAGGCACUCAGGAAGCCCUGAGAUCUGGCCCCACCCACCUCUCAGCUGCCUGCCUCCCACUGUGCUCCCUCACACGCUGUGGCUGCCUGGAGUGGCAGCAGUCCCUUUUCACUGACAGCAGCAAGUCUGUGACCAACCCCUCCUGCUCGGAGCUCCCCAGUUCCCCCACUGUCCAACCAUUACUGGUUUUCAUGAAGGUCCCUGAGGGCCAAGACUGAGCUUUUGGCCCCAGAGCCAUGUGGUAUCUGGCAAUGUGGGUAGUAGGUACUGAGAAGGUUUGCUGAAUAAGUGUGAAUAAAUAAAUGAUGCAGUGCUUUCACC